UACAUGCUGAUAACAUACGCUAUAACUAUACUUUUAUAAGUUUAGAGAUUCGGUUCUGUGACGUUGCAUCAUGUGGUCAAAACAACCUUUUCUUUCUGGGGCGGAGAUGAGAGAUGGCGGAGCAUCUUUCUCUAUUCUAUUUUUUAUUUUCUAUUCCUCAUGAGGCAUUUGUUGAAUUAGGAUGCAACCAAUGAGAGAGAUCUCUCUCUCUCUCUGCAGUGUGGUUGCUAGGUAGAUUUGGGCUCUGGUUUAGAAUAGAGCUCCUCUCUAUCUCUCUCUGCAGUGUGGUUGGUAGGUAGAUUUGGGCUCUAUGGUUUAGAAUAGAGCUCCUCUCUCUCUCUCUCUGCAGUGUGGUUGGUAGGUAGAUUUGGGCUCUAUGGUUUAGAAUAGAGCUCCUCUCUCUCUCUCUGCAGUGUGGUUGGUAGGUAGAUUUGGGCUCUAUGGUUUAGAAUAGAGCUCUCUCUCUCUCUCUCUGCAGUGUGGUUGGUAGGUAGAUUUGGGCUCUAUGGUUUAGAAUAGAGCUCCUCUCUCUCUCUCUCUGCAGUGUGGUUGGUAGGUAGAUUUGGGCUCUAUGGUUUAGAAUAGAGCUCCUCUCUCUCUCUCUGCAGUGUGGUUGGUAGGUAGAUUUGGGCUCUAUGGUUUAGAAUAGAGCUCCUCUCUCUCUCUCUGCAGUGUGAUUGGUAGGUAUAUUUGGGCUCUAUGGUUUAGAAUAGAGCUCCUCUCUCUCUCUCUCUGCAGUGUGGUUGGUAGGUAUAUUUGGGCUCUAUGGGUUGAAGGUUAGAACAAAUAACCAUACAGAAUAAGACAUGUUUGUUUUUAAAUAGCUGGUAUCUAUUCAUGUUAAUUAGACAUUUCAAUCUUAAUACUAGCCUUUCUUCUAGCUGUAUUUGUGUUCAGUAAUAGUCGUAUGUUUAACUUACUGCUGGUACAGUUGUACUCCAUGUUAUUAUUUAGGUAUCUUCAGUCAUAUUCUCUCUGGGAGCAGCCAGCUAGCGACACAGAGGACAGCCUUUUAUACUGCUCUAUCUCAUCGGUUGGGAGUAUAAUCUGCAACGUUAACGUGACGUCUCUACAACGUUAACGUGACGUCUCUGCGUCGUUAACGUGACGUCUCUACGACGUUAACGUGACGUCUCUACGACGUUAACGUGACGUCUCUACGACGUUAACGUGACGUCUCUGCGACGUUAACGUGACGUCUCUGCGUCGUUAACGUGACGUCUCUACGACGUUAACGUGACCUCUCUACGACGUUAACGUGACGUCUCUGCGACGUUAACGUGACGUCUCUACGACGUUAACGUGACGUCUCUACAACGUUAACGUGACGUCUCUACAACGUUAACGUGACGUCUCUACAACGUUAACGUGACGUCUCUACAACGUUAACGUGACGUCUCUACAACGUUAAACGUCUCUCUAACAUUAACAUGACGUUUCUAUAACGUUAAACGUCUCUCUAACAUUAACGUGACGUCUCUAUAACGUUAAACGUCUCUCUAACAUUAACGUGACGUCUCUAUAACGUUAAACGUCUCUCUAACAUUAACAUGACGUUUCUAUAACGUUAAACGUCUCUCUAACAUUAACAUGACGUCUCUAUAACGUUAAACGUCUCUCUAACAUUAACAUGACGUUUCUAUAACGUUAAACGUCUCUCUAACAUUAACAUGACGUUUCUAUAACGUUAUUAAUAAUCCCUGGUACAGGAUGCGAUAGCGUUUUUUUUUUCCAUGACUGAAUAAGAGAAAGGAAUGAAACAACCAGCCAGAGAGAUGGACCUUAUUUAGUAUUUUCGAUGUUGUUUCUUCUUCUCUGAUGACCAACUGUGUUGUGUAGCGGUAGUUAGCACUAGGUAGUGGUAGGUAGCGGUAGGUAGCACUAGGUAGUGGUAGGUAGCGGUAGUUAGCACUAGGUAGUGGUAGGUAGCAGUAGUUAGCACUAGGUAGUGGUAGGUAGCACUAGGUAGUGGUAGGUAGCUGUAGUUAGCGGUAGGUAGCUGUAGUUAGCGGUAGGUAGCUGUAGUUAGCGGUAUGUAGCUGUAGUUAGCGGUAGGUAGCGGUAGGUAGCCGUAGGUAGCCGUAGGUAGCGGUAGGUAGCGGUAGGUAGCCGUAGGUAGCGGUAGGUAGCCGUAGGUAGCCGUAGGUAGCCGUAGGUAGCCGUAGGUAGCGGUAGGUAGCCGUAGGUAGCGGUAGGUAGCCGUAGGUAGCGAUAGGUAGCCGUAGGUAGCGAUAGGUAGCGGUAGGUAGCCGUAGGUAGCGGUAGGUAGCCGUAGGUAGCGAUAGGUAGCCGUAGGUAGCCGUAGGUAGCGGCAGAUAGGCUGCGGCAGGUUGUGAAACUGACUUGUCCUUUACCUCCUGUACCAAAGCAGCAGACAUUCCUUCCUGUAGGAAACCUAGUACAGGUAUUUCAUUCUUCUCAGCUACUGAGCUACUAACUUAUUAACGGAAAGGUGGUGAUUAGGGUUGUGAAAUUCCAGAAAUGAUUCCAAAAUUCCCAGAUUUCCCGGAAAUUCCGGUUGGAAGAUUCUGGAAAAUCCAGGGAUCCUCCAACCAACUAGAAUUUCUCUGGGGAUGCUAGAACAUGAUAAAGCUCUAAGGGUUUAUGAGGCACUGUCCAUCUUAACUGUCCAUCUUAACGCUUUAAAACCCUUCAUACAUUCCAUCAUCCCAACUCAUAUCCUUUGGACAUUUUAGCAUAUUUACAUUUGACUAAAGCUACACUUCCUAAAUGCUACCCUAUGUCCUAGGCAGCGCCCUACGUUUGACCAGCCCUUCAUCUCCUCAGAGGAAGACGAGCAAGAGGAAGACGUUUGACAAUAUUCUCUUUUGGUGCUUUUCUCAAACGUGUCUGUCCAAAAGUAGUGCACUUAUGUAGGGAAUAGGGAACCAUUUGGGAUGGAGCUGAAAACAUAUUCUCUGAGGGCCGGGAUCCAGCUGCCAGUCAGCUGUUGUUGUUGUUAUUAUUAUUAUUGACUUUUAAUGUUUAAUGAGUUUAGAUGUAAAGAAACUCUUCUAAUCUAUAGUAGUUCAUAACAGAUGAAUCGGUCUGUACUUUCUGUAAAUGUUACGAGAGAACGUUUUAUUAUGGCCAUUGUGGUGAAAUGAACUGUCAUUUUUAAUACAUGAACACAGAGGGAAGAGGACACUAGUGUCCUGAAGUCAUUUAUCCUAAAACACAUUUCAUUACCCCUCACUAGGUAGUAGUAGGGUUGCCUCAUUUCUAAUGCCUUUUCCUAAAAUUCCCAGGUUUUCAAAAAAAUAAAAUCCCGGUUGGAAAGAUUCACAGGAUCAGGAGGGAAAAGCAGAAAAUGUGUGAAUCCUCCAGACAGAAUCUGGGCGUUUUUGGGGAAAGUUAAAGUAAUUUUGGAGUCUCUCACUUGUUCUGCUUCGGGGCAACACAAUUCCCUACACGCUGUAGGAAAAUCACUUCAUGACAGUCUUUUUUUUUUAUAUAGGUAACUAUAAGACCAUCAUUACGCUGUGCGUAACGAAAUGUACAGAGAAGAUAAAAAAAAAUCAUAGGUAUUUUUGGAGGAUCAAUGAAUUUGUUAAUGACAUGUAGCUAUUUAAUUUCCCUUAUUUCUGUUUGUCCAAUCAUGCAUUUUAUAACUUUUUGUUUUUGGUGUAAAAAAAAAUAAACGUUUUUUUAGAAUGUUUUUUUUUAUUUUUUUUAUUUUAAAGGUUAAAGUGCAGGAACACAGAAAUGAUUUGAAAACACUGCAUUGAUGAUAGCCACUUGUGUAUUUUGAUGAUAGCCACUUGUGUAUUUUGGCAGUUAUAAUGUUGCAUAAAGGCCACUCAGCAGACAGUCUACAAAGACAAUAACCGUCAUGUCCCAACAUAUAUAAGGAAUUGUGUCAUUUGUAACCAAUCCUCUUUGUUUCAACCAUGUGCCUCUCCUUGAGACAAUUGAACAAAAAAAAUAUAUUGUUGUCAUCCAUCUUGUUUGACUUCUUUUUGUGAUCCAGUAAUAACAGGUGUAUAAAGCCAGAUGGUCAUUCAACCAGUUUGGGAUAAAGAUGCUACUGUAUUAGCUCUGUUAUUUAAUGGAAGAUCCCAGGGAAACUGGCUGUGUGCUUCCACAUCAAUGAUAUGCAUCCAAAAUGGCAUCGUUUCCCUGUAUAUUAUAUAUAUUAUAUAUAUUAUAUAUAUUGUAUAUAUUAUACUAGUCAACAGCAGAUACAAAGGGAAUGAGGUACCAUUUCAGGUGCAACCAAUGAGACACUAAAUAAACAGUAUUCUGUAUUCUACUGUCCAUGCUGUUAGUACAUCCGUGUUAAACUUUCAUUUUGUGGCCUUGUUCCUCCAACUAAAAAGGUUUUGGCAGGCCAACUUUUUUUUUUGUACUUAAGUAGUAUUGAUGAACAAUAAACUGCUCUUAAACCUCAA